UUUGUUAGGGUGAUGAAGAUUUCUCUGGCAUCCAUCCAAUCAGACCCAAGACCACAGACACUAUUGGCUGCCAGUUUUAAACAGAAAAUAAACUUGUCUGAAAGACUCACAAUGCCAGGGCAGUUCCCUAGAGAAUAUGAGAACCAUACAACGGAUCUGAAAGUCAAAGAAACCCAAUAGCCAGACGGAAAGCUCCUCCAAGCCUUUGAAGAAGUUAGCGUGGAAGAAAGGGAAUGAGGACAUUCUUCCCUUCCUCUAUUCACGUAAACAUUUGCAAUGGUUUUCUGAACAAAGCGCAGCUGCUUUCCAAUCCAUGGAUCAAAGUGUGAGCAGGUGACGCUGACCGCCUUCUAAGAGAAGCCUGUCAAGCACCAAAGUGCAAAGGUGAAAAUUAGAAUGUAUGGGCACAAAACUCCAUGGCAUCUUUGUAACUGACAGCCAAAUGCUUCGAAGCCUACCUUUCCAGCACAGUUCCUGACAGCCGUAGUAUCUUGUAGCUCAGGCUUCCAGAGAAUCAAUGACCUCCACUCAGCUAAAUAUCAAGAAAAGGUAAAUAUAAUGAAUGCACUGGUAAAUCCCAACCUACGGUGUGAAGGGGGCUCUGGUUUGGAUCAAAGAAAACAAGUGAAAGCACAAACUUUACAAGAGAAUGUGCAUAUAUCUACUUUGGAGAGCUCUCGUUUGUGGGACAGAGCAUUCUAUACCGCAGACAUUUACACACCGCAGAUCUCACCAACCUGUGUGGCUUGGAGAAAUUAAGAGAGACACCUGUGAAGACUGUCACUCCCCGGCACGGCCAGUACUGCUGAAAACGGUUGUACUAAAACCCAAAUCACAUCCACGGAGCAAAGGCUGCUGACGUGCGAGAGCUGAAUCAAACUGACAGUGUUCAAAGUGCUGAAAGCAAUAUUUUUUUCUGAACUGCCACCCACACAGGAAGCUCAACAGACGUAUUAAUUAUACCUAGCGUGUAAUCCAAAAGAUCCAGGGAAUGUGCUUUAUUUAUUUUUUCUUUGGGGACGAGAGGAGAAUAAAAUAAGACGAUGU